rnacentral:rRNA from 1 species
UACAGAGGUCCCAAGCGUUGUUCGGAUUCACUGGGCGUAAAGGGCUCGUAGGCGGCCAACUAAGUCAGACGUGAAAUCCCUCGGCUUAACCGGGGAACUGCAUCCGAUACUGGUCGGCUUGAAUCCGGGAGAGGGAUGCAGAAUUCCAGGUGUAGCGGUGAAAUGCGUAGAUAUCUGGAGGAAUACCGGUGGCGAAGGCGGCAUCCUGGACCGGCAUUGACGCUGAACAGCGAAAGCUAGGGGAGCAAACGGG